UCGGCGGGAGCAACAGCUGCCGUCGGGCGGUAGAGGUAACACUUUCACGCGCCGCAUGUCUGAAUCCUUUUUUUACGAGCACCUUUCGUUCUCCUUCGGCGGGGCAACCUGCCGUUGGAACCUAUCAAAACCUUUUUUUUGCAUCUAGCAUUACCUGUUCUGAUACAAACAAUCGUUACAACUUUCAACAAUGGAUCUCUUGGCUCUGGCAUCGAUGAAGAACGCAGCGAAAUGCGAUAAGUAGUGUGAAUUGCAGAAUUCAGUGAAUCAUCGAAUCUUUGAACGCACAUUGCGCCCCUUGGUAUUCCAUGGGGCAUGCCUGUUCGAGCGUCAUCUACACCCUCAAGCUCUGCUUGGUGUUGGGCGUCUGUCCCGCCUCUGCGCGCGGACUCGCCCCAAAUUCAUUGGCAGCGGUCCUUGCCUCCUCUCGCGCAGCACAUUGCGCUUCUCGAGGGGCGCGGCCCGCGUCCACGAAGCAACAUUACCGUCUUUGACCUCGGAUCAGGUAGGGAUACCCGCUGAACUUAAGCAUAUC
rnacentral:rRNA from 1 species